CUUAUACUUAUCUUAGGUGUUCUUCUCUUCAUCUACUGGUGGCUGAGUAAAGGUCUCCUUCCUUGAUGCAGAUAUGUAAUUACAUUAAAACUGCAAGGUGGUUUGCUUCAACGAGUGAUCCUCUUUGGAUUGAAGGUCAGUUGGAGUCCACUGAGAUGCUUCAAGCCUCUUCAAAGAGAAAACACAGCUCGUAAUGGCUAGGUGACGGUGAUUCCUGUGCAGGUGCGCGACAUGGUGUUUCCUCCUUGCCCAUGUUCUUCCCAAACCAGAACCAGAUAUUUUCAAGGCUCUUCUUGCAUUUUUGGACCUAUUGUUACAGCUUCUUGAGACUCAAAAUCAAUCCCUUGGGUAGUCCAACUUCGGAUGAGAAGAUUGAAAGCUUUUUGGAAGCUUUUAGCACGGGCUCGGGUGAUACGUCCCUCUGGGACUUGAAUCAUUCUUCCUGCUUCUCUACAACUAUCUUCUUCGUCUUUCAUGUAAGCAUCCUUCCUUGUGUCUCUUGUGUUUAGGUUUACAUCACCUAGUCUUGGAGAUUCCUGUUGAUAGAUAUAUUCCAAUGGUUGGGGAAGUUGGGAUCAAUAGCAUCUUUAACCAGCAUAUUUUUGUCACUAGAAAUAGCAUAAUUAAGAAAAAAUCUUACAAAGAAGCUAACUAUGUCUUGCCAUCUAUCAGUCCAUAAAUGAAUUUUCUGGCCAUUGCUAACACACCAUCUGGAAUUAUGGAGAAUGAGAGUUUUAAGUUGUCAAAUAGCUUUCCAGAGGGUAGUCCCAUAUAUACCAUUCUUGAUUUUAGACAUGUCACCAUUUCCACCAUUGAUCCAUUUGCACAAGAUAACUGUUUUCCAUAGACUGUUACUUUCAUUCCAAAACCUUCAAAUCCAUUUCCCAAGAAGUGCUUUGUUAAUCAUGGUAAUAGAUCUUAGACACAAACCUCCCUUCUUGAGGGGUUUUUUUAUUUCAUUCCAAUUUACUAAAUAGAGUUUCUUGUUGGAUCCGUCAUCUCCCCAUAGAAAAUUCCUUUGUAUGGCUUCCAGCUUGUUUGCAAUAUUAGUAGGGAUAUUGAGCACACUUAAGUAGCAUAUUCGAAUGUUAGAGAGGGUGCUAUUUAUUAACGUCAGUCUAUCCCAUUUUGAUAGCAAUUAUUUUUCCAAUUUGAUAACCUAUUCUGGAACAUAUUGAUGAUGGGAUCCCAAUAUUCUUUGUCUUUAAAUUUGGCACCAAAUGGUAUCCCGAGAUAGGUGAUAGGCAAUUCAGAGAGCUUGCACCCCAGAACUUGAGCUAAUCCAUUACCAGAGUUCUCCCCAAGUAUCACUAGCUCUGAUUUUUUGAGAUGGAUCUUAAGACCUGAAACAACUUGGAAACAUAGUAAGAUACAUCUAAGGAAAACAAGGGAGCUAGCUUCUAGCUUGCAGCGAAAAAUAUGUGUAAAACAUCAACAUGUCCCCUCCCCUGACCAACCAUGAUUCCUUUGAGAAGAUGCAACUCCUUAGCUUUCUCAAUGAGUUUAUUUAAAGCUUUCUUCAUAAUAAUAAAAAGUAAAGGAGAGAGAGCGUCACUUUGCCUUAAACCUCUAGUAGCAAUGAAAAGGUAUAGGGGCCCCCAUUCACAAUAAUAGCAAAACUAGUAGUGGAUAUGCAGCAUUUGAUCCAUUGUCUCUAUUUAGAACCAAAUACUAAUCUAAAAAGCAUAUAAUCAAUGAAGUGCCAGCUGACAUGGUCAAUGGCUUUUUCUAUAUCAAGCUUCAUAGCGCGCCUUUCAUAUCAUUUUUGAGGAUUUCAUCAACUGUUUCAUUAGCUAUCAUAAUAGAGUCCGCAAUUUACCUUCUUGGAAGAAAAGCAUGUUAACACUUCCUAAUUAUCUUAUGCAAUAUUUUUAAAAGUCUUUCGACCACUGCCUUGAAGAGAAGUUUGUAAAUACAUUCGACAAGACUUAUCGAUUGGUAAUCACCAAUAUUGGUUGGACUAGAUUUUUUUGGAAAUCAUGAUGAUAAAAGUGGAAUUGAUUGAUUUAACAAAGGAUCCAUGUUUGUGAAAGUCAUUAAAGAACUCCAUGAUAUCUUUUUUAAGAAUAUCCCCAAAUGUUUGGAGAAAUUUGAAAUUGAAACCAUCAGGUCCGGGGGCUUUGUCACCAUCAUAGUCAUGUAGACAUUCUUGUACUUCAUCCUCAAUAAAUUUCAUUUCCAGUUGAGAGCAGUCAACAUUAUUCAAAUUAUUGUAAGAUAAACCAUCAAGUCGAGGCUUGGAAUUAAUGCUCUCUGUGUAGAGUGUUUCAAAGUACUUACUAGCAGCCUCUCUCAGGCUAUCGUUCCUUUUAGUAAGUAUACCAUUAAUGGUGAGCUCUUCAACAUAGUUAACUCUCCUGCAGUGAUUUACUAGCAUUUGGAAACAUUUUGUAUUUUUAUCACCUUCCUUGAGCCAUUUUUCUCUAGAUUUCUACCUCCAAGAGAUACAUUAUAUAAGGGGAAGGACCUUUAGAAGCUCACCUUAUUAGAGAAAGGGGCAACCUAUCUUAUUAAGAAGAAGAAAGGGAGUGAGAUAGGUGACAGGUAGCUUGCUUCCAAGCCGGCUCGGCCGCGAGGAAUCAAGAGAUCUCUGCAGGGGUUGACUUGGAUCUCGGAUGACGGAAAAAGAUAGCCAGAAGCGACGAGCAGUCGCGGUUCAUAUGUAACCAGUGUGCCAAAUCAAUUUUCAGAGCUUUCUUUGAGUUUUUAUCAACUUGAGACAGACAGAAAGGGAUAGGGCCCCACUUUAUACCAUCCAUAGCAAGGAGAAUGGGAUAAUGAUCAGAGAUAGGCCUGGGCAUCAAUUUUUGAAUAAUGUUAUCUGAAGACAACAGAAUAUCCGAGGAGAUAAGAAAUAUGUCAAUUCUGGAGAAAGGUGCUUCAUCUUGAAAAGAAGUCGAUGAUGUGCUGAAGUUCCUAAGGGUUUGGUGAGCAGAUCCGCGAGCUGUUCUCUCGAGAUACCUUCCCUUGACUUGGCUAUUUCGAACCCAGGAAAAUAUCUUGCUUGUCCAAGAUCCUUUACUGUGAAAGCUUCAUACAGGGCAUGCUGAACUUUGCGGAUUUCUCUAUCAUCAGGACCUGUGAGGUGGACAUGAGGAAGGGGGGCUCAGGUGCAGGUGGCACAGUGACAUGAGCAAUAAAGUCUUCCAUCCAGAUGGGCCUGCUUCUCACCCUGGUACUCCUACUGACUUCAGGCUCUUGGGGUGUAAUGUGAUGUGAGGGAAUUUCUUCCCUGUUUUGUAGCUGGCUAUUGAAUAUAUCUAGUAUGUUAAUAUUGGGUGUCAGUAACGGUGUGUUAUGGUAGUCUAGUUGAGGAGGUUGUGUUUGAUAUGGAUAAACAUGUUCAAUACAACAUCUCUUGACAAAAUUGUUUCCCUGUUUGAUAUGUCAUAUAGUUUGUGUGAUUUAACACCAGUUGCAUACCCUAAGAAAAUGCAUUUUAAGGCUCUAGCAUCAAAUUUAUUUAUUUAAGGGUAAACAUUGGUAGCAAAACACGGGCAGCGAAAAACCCUUAGGGUAGAGUAAUCUGGUCAUUUUUUGUGCAAAACUUCAUAGGGAGGUUUCCAUUUUAAAACGGAGCUUGGUAAAACAUUUACUAUAUAUGUGGCUGUAAGUAUCGCUUCACCUCAAAAACCUUUUGGUAAAUUUGAUUCAAACAUAAGUGCUCUGGCAACUUGCAGUAGGUGUUUCUGUUUCCUUUCUACCACACCAUUUUGUUGUAGUGUGUAUGCAACAGGUUCUUUGAUGCACAAUGCCCUUUUCUUGAAAAAUAUUUUCGCAUGAAGUAUUUAUAAAUUUAAUGUCAUUGUCUGUCCUAAUGACCUUGAUUAUUUUUUAAAAUUGGUUUUGUAUCAGGUUGCAAAAAUAUUUUAAAAUGCUCAGUACAAUUGUUUUCCCUUUUAGUGAAUAACUCCACGUAGUUCAUGAAAAAUCAUCCACUAUAGUUAAAAAAUAAGAUGCACCAUAAAUGGAAUUAAUAAGGUAAGGACCUCAAAAAUUAACAUGUAUCAAACUAAAGAUGUCAUUAGUAGUAAUGGAACUUUUGGGAAAAGAGAAGUAUUGUUGAUUUAUUAAUGGGCAUAUUUCACAAACAUAUGAAUCUACACUAUUUGAUAACUUUAGGCUGGGAACGUGAGUCAUUUUUUUUUGUGGAUGUGUGACCGAGUCUUUUGUGCCAAGUUGUAGGUUGUUUUCUUGGGUGUGGCUGCUGCAUGCUUUAUCGGGAUCUAUGUCUUUACUUAGGGUGUACAGGCCCUCCAUUAUUAUUCCCUUCCUUAAUAUUUUGUUAGUCAUUAAAUCCUGCACAAAACAAUGGUUGGGAUAAAAGAAUAUGUAGGUAUUUGAUGUUUGGGUUAAUUUUCUGACAGAAAUCAGGUUGCAAGCAAACUUUAAUAUGUAAAGGACAUCGUCUAAUAUUAGAUCAUUACACAAUCUUACGGUUCCUUUGUGGGUCGAGUGACUCAAAGUUCCAUUUGGUAGUGAAAUAGGUAUUGUGGGUUCCAACUUUACGGGUUUCGAAAGUAUACCAAAAUCAUAGCAUAUAUGUGAUGUAGCACCUGUGUCUAUUACCCAGGUACGUAUAUCAUUAGAGGUAUGUAAAAAAUAUCAAUUAAGUUAUUUACCGGUAGGGCCAGAGUAGCCCACGCACCCUGCAGAUUCUAUUGCAUUUGUUCCUUGAUUCUUCAUAUACUUGCUGAUUUCUUAAUGUAUGAAUGUGGCUAUUUUGGUGCCCCAUUUUGUUUUGGAUGCUUCAGUUUUGGUACCAUCUGGGAUAUUAUUUGCUAAUGUAUUUGCUUUCUCUUUGUUUUUUUUCCCUUUGAGUUAUGCGAACCAUUCUGGGUAGCCGUGGAGUUUAAAACAUGUGCCUCUUGUGUGCCCUGUAUUUUUGCAAUAAAUAUAUAUUUCGUUAUCCCUUUCUUUCUUUUGGUUUGGAAGUUUUGGAUUGUCUUUCAAACUGGCAUAACAUGCAAUGGGCAUCCCUUCAAGUAGAUUGAUGUUGUGUAUUUCUCUUUGUUUUUUAACACUAAUCACCAUGGAAUAAGCUUUGUUGACAGCAAGUAGGGGUUCCAUGAUCAAUAUUUAGUUUCUAACAUGGUCAUAUGAGUCAUUGAGACCCAUUAGGAAUUGGAUCAGGUUAUCAGUGUUAUCAAUCUCAUUAUGUUGUGUUGCAGCAUGACAAGUAUAGGCCUUAGGUGAGUCAGCUCAUCCCAUAGCCUUUUUAGUUUAGUAUAAUAGGCUGUGACAUAAAGAUUUGACUACAUUUUAACUAAUACAGCAGAGGUUUGUUACUUUCUAUAUAC